rnacentral:lncRNA from 1 species
AUCAAUAAAUUUAUACCUUGUAUUGUCAACUGAUGGAAUUAACUCAUAUAGUAUUCAAGGUAACUUCCAUAGUACAUGACCAAUGAUAUAAAAAAACAACAAAAAUUACAAGUGCCACAUCAUCUCAUUUGGAAACCUCAAACUCCAAAAGAACACUUCAAUCACUAGAAUGUUCAUGAUGAAGAUGUGGAUGGAACCAUAGAAACAAAAUCCGCUCAAAUUGAUUGAGAACUGGUAACUAUUUGCGCAUAUUGAUUCACAUCUAUGGCGAACUGGUUCUCUUUGAUUCCUUACCUCCUUGUAAGAAACGAAUCAAAGUUUUCACCUACAAUUUCAGUCCAAGAAAGAAAUGAGAAGGGAAUUGGGUUGGCAAAAUGACAAUAAAAACAAUCCCAUGAAGCUAUUAGAAAAGAGGAGUCUACAAUCUCACUCUAAUAAGAGGAAG